ACAGAGGCAGUUGGCAUUGGCCCCAUUCAAGCACUCCCCGAGGUCUACAGUGGAGAAGAGAAGGCUGCCAAGCCCCUGUGAAGAAGAAAGAGACUGUGUAUCGUCCCAGCCCCUCGUGACUUCACACUGGGUGUGAAGACAGAAUAGGAUCCUGAAAGAGGCCGACUUUAACGAAAGGAAUGAGUGUGUGCACUUUUGGACAUGGCGUCUAGAUGUCCUUCCAAUUAAGCGGUGCACAGAAACCGGAUUCAGAUGCAAGGUUCGCAGCAAAGGCGCUAAAGAAUCGCACAGUCAACCUCGUCUACAGAUGGCUGGAGGCAUGAGACACAAGCUUUCAAAGCAGUUUUUAAGCCACCAACCAUAAAGGCUCAGGAAAGAAUCCAGAAACUACCCCAAAAUUUCCCAUGAUGAUUGACAUCAAGAGAACACCAUUCUGGACCAGUUUCUGAGGUAACGGGAGUAUUUUCUCUGCCACCAGUUCCUGUAAACAGUAGCAAUGUGUGUUCACUGCGCUUGAGAUGUACCCACUG
rnacentral:lncRNA from 1 species